CAGAGGUGGAAGUGUGGUAACACAUGGAGCUGACUGUUACUAAUAGGUCGAGGGCAUAACCAAA
rnacentral:rRNA from 1 species